CUAGACCUCGGAUCAGGCCAGGCUACCCGCUGAAUUUAAGCAUAUCAAUAAGCGGAGGAAAAGAAACUAACAAGGAUUCCCUUAGUAACGGCGAGCGAAGCGGGAAUAGCUCAAAUUUGAAAUCUCCAGUGCUUGCACUGGCGAAUUGUAGUCUGUAGGGCCAGUUUCGCCCGACGCGGCGUCCCCAAAGUCGUCCUGGAAAGGCGGGCCAGAGAGGGUGAGAGCCCCGUGUGCGGGGGCACCGCGGAAGGUAAGAUCUGUGCCCGAAGAGUCGGGUUGUUUGGGAUUGCAGCCCAAAAUGGGUGGUAAACUCCAUCUAAAGCUAAAUACUGGCACGAGACCGAUAGCGAACAAGUACCG
rnacentral:rRNA from 1 species